AUUGAACGCUGGCGGCAUGCCUUACACGUGCAAGUCGAACGGCAGCACGGGUGCUUGCACCUGGUGGCGAGUGGCGAACGGGUGAGUAAUACAUCGGAACGUACCUUAUCGUGGGGGAUAACGCAGCGAAAGCUGUGCUAAUACCGCAUACGCCCUGAGGGGGAAAGCGGGGGAUCGCAAGACCUCGCGCGAUUAGAGCGGCCGAUGCCUGAUUAGCUUGUUGGUGGGGUAAAAGCCCACCAAGGCGACGAUCAGUAGCUGGUCUGAGAGGACGAUCAGCCACACUGGGACUGAGACACGGCCCAGACUCCUACGGGAGGCAGCAGUGGGAAUUUUGGACAAUGGGGGCAACCCUGAUCCAGCAAUGCCGCGUGAGUGAAGAAGGCCUUCGGGUUGUAAAGCUCUUUUGUCAGGGAAGAAACACCGGCUCUAACACAGUCCGGGAAUGACGGUACCUGAAGAAUAAGCACCGGCUAACUACGUGCCAGCCGCCGCUGUAA
rnacentral:rRNA from 1 species